GACGAACGCUGGCGGCGUGCUUAAUACAUGCAAGUAGGACGCAGUUGCGAACUGGUGAGUAACGCGUAGGCAACUGCCUAUUAGAGGGGGUUAACUAUUGGAAACGAAAGCUAAUACCGCAUACUAGUAGAUGGACCUGCGUUGUAUUAGCUAGUAGGUAAGGUAAUGGCCUACCUAGGCGACGAUACAUAGCCGACAUGGAAGUGUGGUCGGCCGCGCUGGCACUGGGACACGAACCGGGAACCUACGGAGUGAAACCGUAGGGAAGCUUCGGAAGUGGGGGAAAGCCUGACCGAGCAAGGCCGCGUGAGUGAAGAAGGUUUUCUGAUCGUAAAGCUCUAUUGUUAAGGAGGCGGUACUUAACCAGAAAGGGACGGCUGACUACAUGCCAGCCGCCGCGGUGAUAC
rnacentral:rRNA from 1 species